rnacentral:rRNA from 1 species
CAGCCGCCGCGGUAAUACGUAGGGCGCGAGCGUUGUCCGGAAUUAUUGGGCGUAAAGAGCUUGUAGGCGGUUUGUCGCGUCUGCUGUGAAAGGCCAGGGCUUAACCCUGGUAUUGCAGUGGGUACGGGCAGACUAGAGUGCAGUAGGGGAGGCUGGAAUUCCUGGUGUAGCGGUGAAAUGCGCAGAUAUCAGGAGGAACACCGAUGGCGAAGGCAGGUCUCUGGGCUGUAACUGACGCUGAGAAGCGAAAGCAUGGGGAGCGAACAGGAUUAGAUACCCCGGUAGUCCCUGUCUCUUAUAC